rnacentral:rRNA from 1 species
GUGGGGAAUUUUGGACAAUGGGCGCAAGCCUGAUCCAGCAAUGCCGCGUGUGUGAAGAAGGCCUUCGGGUUGUAAAGCACUUUUGUCCGGAAAGAAAUGGCCUGGGUUAAUACCCCGGGUCGCUGACGGUACCGGAAGAAUAAGCACCGGCUAACUACGUGCCAGCAGCCGCGGUAAUACGUAGGGUGCGAGCGUUAAUCGGAAUUACUGGGCGUAAAGCGUGCGCAGGCGGCGAUGCAAGACAGAUGUGAAAUCCCCGGGCUCAACGUAGGAACUGCAUUUGUGCAUGCAUGGCUAGAGUGCGGCAGAGUGGAGUUGAAUUCCGCGUGUAGCAGUGAAAUGCGUAGAGAUGCGGAGGAACACCGAUGGCGAAGGCAGCCCCCUGGGAUGACACUGACGCUCAUGCACGAAAGCGUGGGGAGCAAACAGGAUUAGAAACCCUUGUAGUCC